GCAACUCCGGCAGCCAUCGGCCCAUCACCUAUCACCGCCCAAAUCGCUUCAGUUCACAAGGGCAACAAGGGUACAGGUACUGGAAGUCUACAGGUCAGAUCCUCAUGACAUGAUUUCAUCAAUCGCCGCCAGAACCCAGCAACAAUAAACCAGCUAAUAUAUACCUCAGCAAGACAAAACAAAACCUAGGUGUAACCCACCGUCUGAAGCUUGACUCAGAAGCAGCACCGUAGAAGAAACGAGGAGACACCAGCCACAUAUCUUCGCGCCAUGAUUCAGUUACCUCCCACACCCUCCAGCCGUGCACUGCUAUGAAAACAUCAUUUGCUAUCAGUUCCAACAUUAUUAUGCCCCACCUUAGCGUUUCUUGACUUUCAAGAUUUGUCUGCAAAUAGUUCUAGACAUUAAGCCACCUAAUAAUGAUCAUAUUAACUGGUUAAAGAAACUUGUUUUUCUCUCUUUGUUUUUUUUUCAUCUAAUAACAAUCCAACCGGUAGAUUUUCUUGAGAGUGCAGAUACGAUGAAAGCGAGAGAAAGAAAGAGAAAAUCCAACCGGAUCACCUGCUUCCAUCGUGCAUGAUGGUUUACGACCCCCGGGAAGCUCGGCUUCCUUUCUUUCUUGUUCCUCCGAGUCAAAUAAAGAUCGCUUUGGCGAGAGAACGUGAUCUGUGCCUGCUCCGCCCUCACCCUUGUACUAUUAU
rnacentral:lncRNA from 1 species